UGGGGGAUAUUGCACAAUGGGCGAAAGCCUGAUGCAGCGACGCCGCGUGGGGGAUGAAGGCCUUCGGGUUGUAAACUUCUUUUGCUCUGAACAAGGCAUGCUAAUGGGUGUGUUGAGUGUAGGGGUUGAUUAGCGCCGGCUAACUACGUGCCAGCAGCCGCGGUAAUACGUAGGGCGCGAGCGUUGUCCGGAAUUAUUGGGCGUAAAGGGCUUGUAGGUGGCUGGUUGCGUCUGUCGUGAAAGCUCAUGGCUUAACUGUGGAUUUGCGGUGGGUACGGGCUGGCUUGAGUGCAGUAGGGGAGGCUGGAAUUCCUGGUGUAGCGGUGGAAUGCGCAGAUAUCAGGAGGAAUACCGGUGGCGAAGGCGGGUCUCUGGGCUGUUACUGACACUGAGGAGCGAAAGCAUGGGGAGCGAACAGG
rnacentral:rRNA from 1 species